GCCGAAGUGGCGGAAUUGGCAGACGCACUAGACUCAAAAUCUGGCGACCUCUGGUCAUGUGGGUUCGAUUCCCACCUUCGGUACCA
rnacentral:tRNA from 1 species